AGAGAUGGCCACACUGGAGUGCGAGUGCCCAAUAGCAUCUGCUCUUGGAAGCUAAGCGGGGCCGUGCCUGGUUAGUACUUGGAUGGGAGACCAACUUGAAAGACCAGGCCGCUAUCCUUA
rnacentral:rRNA from 12 species